rnacentral:rRNA from 1 species
GUCUACAGCCAUACCACCCUGAAUGUGCCCAAUCUCGUCUAGCUAAGCAGGGUCGGGCCUGGUUAGUAUUUGGAUGGGAGACUGCCUGGGAAUACUAGGUGCUGUAGGCA